ensembl:lncRNA
GGUGAUCUCAAGCACUGACGUGGGUUGGGUGGAGAAUGGCUGGAGAGCGGCCCCGUGGAGAAGGAUUUGGGAGUGUGGACUGCUGAGAGAUUGAGCGCGAGCUGGCAAGGUGUGCUCGCUGCCCAGAAGGCCAAGCGUAGCCUGGGUUGCGUGAAGAGGAAGAAGCGUGGAAGUGGGAGAGUGUAUGUUUAGACCAGGUGUUGGGAAGAAGUUCCUUACUGUGAGGCUGCCAUGGCAGACGUUUUCUUUGGAAUAUACAAGUGGUGUUCCAGGUAUCCUGUCAGGUCUUCAACAGUCACAUCAUCGACAUAGGUGGGAGCCUCCUCAGAAUAGGAUGUGGGAGAAGUCCACGAGGCUGUUUCACAGAGGGGUCUGUUAAGCGUGGAUAAGGAGAAACAAGCUGAGGUUUGGCUGUUGUGUGAGUCAGAGUGGAAGGAUGAGGGCAGAGCGAGGCAGUUCUCCCGUGACAGAGCGCAGUGUCUCCUGGUGGCGGCAGAAAUCCCCACCGUGCUCAGUGCUGUUCCCUGCCACCACGUCAGCCCACAUCCCCUGCUGGGGACAGCGUGCUGCCAGCAUAUGCCGGGUCACCUGCUGUCCGUGGGGACCGGGUAACGGCACGGAGCAGUGUGAGGACUGCAGCCCCGCUUAGCAGUGUGCCCCGUGGAUGUGGGGCUGCCCCAUGGCUGUGGCCGCUGCAGUGAGGGCUCCUGCGUGGGGCUGCGGUGUGUGCCUGCCUGCCUGCCUGCCAUCCCAGGGUGGGCCGGGAGAGGAGAGCAGCUGAGCUGGCAUGGUGCCUGCGCCUGGGGAGCUAUUUGGAGAUGCGUUUGAUGUCUCCGCCGCAAGGGUGAUGGAUGCUGGGGCGAACGUCGUGAUGGCACAGCCAACGCUCUGUGCUGGGCUUUGAAGUCUCCCGAGCGGAGCAUCCCAGCUCGCAGAUUUGGGAAGACAUGGACUACGGGGCAGGAGAUGCUACUUGCCAAGGCGGCUACGUGAGGAGCAGCCUCAGAGCUCAACAUCCCAGCUGCACCCUGCUCCAGGAGGACGCAGGAGUUCCCCGUCAGCUGUCCCUUCCUCCGCAUCUCUGUCACUGUGUCCCCGGUGUGCAGACCCCGGUGAGAUGCCGCCACGCACCGUGGGCUCCUGAAGCCAUGGAGCAGCACAGACCCAAGGAGGAGGACGAGCAGGCUGAGUGCGUAAACGUGGGAGGAUACAGGACAGGAGACCCGGAACGUCCGUGCCGUGAGAGACCGGCCGGUCCUCCUGCAGUCCUCUCACACCUGCAGGGUCAGAACAGGUGAACAGACUGAGACGGCUGUUGGUGUGCAGUCCCUGACAGGAGCAGCGGAAGAGCCUUAAGGAAGCGGGGCUCUCCCAGAAGAGAGAGGCACGCAAACACUGCUGCUGUAAAGCUCCUGGAGGGCCGUCCGCAGGCUGCGCUCCUCCUCGUCCUCGUCGUCGUCGUCCUCGUCCUCGUCGUCGUCCUGCUGCUGCUGCUGCUGCUCCUCCUCGUCCUCGUGCCGCCUGUUUGCAAGCCAAGGACACGUGAAAGGAACGUCAGCGGGACUGAGGCGGAGCUG